rnacentral:tRNA from 1 species
AUUUUAGUAGUUUAUAAAAAUACUGAUUUGUGGGGUCAGAGAUGUAGUAAUUACCUAAAAUA